rnacentral:rRNA from 1 species
AGCAGCCGCGGUAAUUCCAGCUCCAAUAGCGUAUAUUAAAGUUGUUGCAGUUAAAAAGCUCGUAGUUGAAUUUCGGGAUCAGUACGCUGGUCGUGCCUUUGGUAUGUACUGGUGUCACUGAUUCCUCCCUUCUGAAGAACCGUUAUGCCAUUUAUUUGGUGUGGCGGGGAAUCAGGACUGUUACUUUGAAAAAAUUAGAGUGUUUAAAGCAGGCUCGCGCUUGAAUACAUUAGCAUGGAAUAAUGAAAUAGGACGUUUGAUCUUAUUUUGUUGGUUUCUAGGAUCGACGUAAUGAUUAAUAGGGAUAGUUGGGGGCAUUAGUAUUCAAUUGUCAGAGGUGAAAUUCUUGGAUUUAUUGAAGACUAACUACUGCGAAAGCAUUUGCCAAGGAUGUUUUCAUUAAUCAAGAACGAAAGUUAGGGGAUCGAAGACGAUCAGAUACCGUCGUAGUCUUAACCAUAAACUAUGCCGACUAGGGAUCGGAUGAUGUUAUUUUUAAUGACUCAUUCGGCGCCUUAAC